GAUCCUGGCUCAGGAUGAACGCUAGCUACAGGCUUAACACAUGCAAGUCGAGGGGCAGCGGGAAGUCAGCUUGCUGACUUUGCCGGCGACCGGCGCACGGGUGAGUAACGCGUAUCCAACCUGCCCAUCACUUGGGAAUAACCUUGCGAAAGUAAGACUAAUGCCCAAUGACAUCCCACGAAGGCAUCCGAAUGGGAUUAAAGAUUUAUCGGUGAUGGAUGGGGAUGCGU
rnacentral:rRNA from 1 species